CUCUUAUCAAGAGUGGUGGAGGGACUGGCCCUUUGAAGCCCGACAACCGGCAUUAAUUUAAAUGUAUCGGUGUUAAUUCCUACAGGUGUGUAAUAUUUUGAAAGAUGAGAA
rnacentral:ncRNA from 2 species